rnacentral:antisense_RNA from 1 species
AUUCCCUCAGUGGCUAAAUUCAAGCCAUUUAUACUUUAUACUUUAAAACACUGAAGGUAGGCCUGGCCUUCUGCGACGGCCAAGGGAGAACGUCUUCUCUGUGGUUAUUCUUUACAGUGAGACAGUGAAGACCCCACAAGCUAAAAGAGCAACUGCAUUUGAGGAGGUAUAAUGGCAGCCCAGUUCUGAAGCUUCUUCUUAGUGGCCAGUAGGGACUCAUUCUGACCUAACAGAAACCUCUUAGGUUCUGCAGUAACUAAAGCCAACAGCCUGAGGCACGCUGCUGUGUAGUCGAGAAAGGGCAGGCAGCCAGCAAGCGUGUACAAGGUAUAUACGUGCUGCACGCUGUUGUGUAGUGAAGAAAGGGAAGGCAGCCAGCAAGCGUGUACAAGGUAUAUACGUGCUGCACGCUGCUGUGUAGUCGAGAAAGGGCAGCCAGCAAGCGUGUACAAGGUAUAUACGUGCUGCACGCUGCUGUGUAGUCGAGAAAGGGAAGGGUGUGUGCAGGGUACAUACGUGCUGAACGUGUCCAUCUCUCCAGUCAGAUUGAUUCG